GAUGAACGCUAGCUACAGGCUUAACACAUGCAAGUCGAGGGGUAACGAGAGGAAAGCUUGCUUUCCUUGUCGACGACCGGCGCACGGGUGAGUAACGCGUAUCCAACCUGCCCCCAACUAGGGAAUAACCUUGCGAAAGUAAGACUAAUACCCUAUAAUUUCCUCAGAUGUCAUCUGACGAGGAAUAAAGAUUUAUCGGUUGUGGAUGGGGAUGCGUCUGAUUAGCUUGUUGGCGGGGUAACGGCCCACCAAGGCAACGAUCAGUAGGGGUUCUGAGAGGAAGGUCCCCCACAUUGGAACGGAGACACGGUCCAAACUCCUACGGGAGGCAGCAGUGAGGAAUAUUGGGCAAUGGGCGGAAGCCUGAACCAGCCAAGUAGCGUGCAGGAUGACGGCCCUAUGGGUUGUAAACUGCUUUUAUACAGGAAUAAAGUUAGCCACGUGUGGUUAUUUGUAGGUACUGUAUGAAUAAGGACCGGCUAAUUCCGUGCCAGCCGCCGCGGUAAGAC
rnacentral:rRNA from 1 species